GACAGAGGGGGCAAGCGUUGCUCGGAUUCACUGGGCGUAAAGGGUGCGUAGGUGGUUGGGCAAGUCUGAUGUGAAAUCUCCGGGCUUAACCCGGAAAUGGCAUUGGAAACUGCCUGGCUAGAGUGUUGGAGGGGGGACUGGAAUUCUCGGUGUAGCAGUGAAAUGCGUAGAUAUCGAGAGGAACACCAGUGGCGAAGGCGAGUCCCUGGACAACGACUGACACUGAGGCACGAAAGCUAGGGGAGCAAACAGG
rnacentral:rRNA from 1 species